GAUGAAGAACGUAGCGAAAUGCGAUAAGUAAUGUGAAUUGCAGAAUUCAGUGAAUCAUCGAAUCUUUGAACGCACCUUGCGCCCUUUGGCUAUUCCGAAGGGCAUGCCUGUUUGAGUAUCAUGAACACCUCAACUCUCAUGGUUUGCCAUGAUGAGCUUGGACUUUGGGGGUCUUGCCGGCCUAUGGGUCGGCUCCUCUCAAAUUAAUCAGCUUGCCAGUGUUUGGUGGCAUCACAGGUGUGAUAACUAUCUACGCUUGUGGUUUUCCAUCAGGUAACCUUCAGUGAUGGAGGUUCGCUGGGGCUCAUAAAUGUCUCUCCUCGGUGAGGACAGCUUUUUUGAACGUUUGAUCUCAAAUCAGGUAGGACUACCCGCUGAACUUAAGCAUAUCAAUAAGCGGAGGA
rnacentral:misc_RNA from 1 species